ACCAGUUUGCCAACACUCUGUUUCCAAGUUCCACACCAUACUUGGCAUCAAUUUUUAAUGCAAACGAGAUAAACUUGUCAAUUACUCACCGUCUUAUUCCUCGUUGUAUCCGUACAACACGAUAGAAUUUGGCAUCGAC
rfam:Pichia membranifaciens DNA, contig: CON132, strain: KS47-1.